rnacentral:rRNA from 1 species
GAUGAACGCUGGCGGCGUGCUUAACACAUGCAAGUCGAACGGAGUGAAUGAAACGGAAGUUUUCGGAUGGAAGAUUCAUUGACUUAGUGGCGGACGGGUGAGUAACGCGUGGGUAACCUACCGUAUACAGGGGGAUAACACUUAGAAAUAGGUGCUAAUACCGCAUAAGCGCACAGUGUCGCAUGACACAGUGUGAAAAGCCUCGACGGUAUACGAUGGACCCGCGUCUGAUUAGCUAGUUGGUGGGGUAGAGGCCUACCAAGGCGACGAUCAGUAGCCGGCCUGAGAGGGUGACCGGCCACAUUGGGACUGAGACACGGCCCAAAUUCCUACGGGAGGCAGCAGUGGGGAAUAUUGCACAAUGGGGGGAAACCCUGAUGCAGCGACGCCGCGUGAGUGAAGAAGUAUUUCGGUAUGUAAAGCUCUAUCAGCAGGGAGAAAAUGACGGUACCUGACUAAGAAGUCACGGCUAACUACGUG